CAUGCAAGUCGUACGAGAAAGAAGUCUUCGGACUUCGAGUACAGUGGCGAACGGGUGAGUAGUACGUGAAUAAUCUACCUUCGAGAGGGGGAUAACCCCGGGAAACUGGGACUAAUACCGCGUAUGCUCACAGCUCCGCAUGGAACAGUGAGGAAAGGUGACCUCUGCUUGCAAGUUACCGCUCGAAGAUGAGUUCACGCCCCAUUAGCUAGUUGGUGAGGUGAUGGCUCACCAAGGCGAAGAUGGGUAGCCGGCCUUAGCGGGUGGUCGGCCACACUGGGACUGAGACACGGCCCAGACUCCUACGGGAGGCAGCAGUCUGGAAUUUUCCGCAAUGGGCGAAAGCCUGACGGAGCGAUGCCGCGUGGGGGAUGAAGGCCCUUGGGUCGUAAACCCCUGUCAAGAGGGAAGAAAGGGUUCGGGCUAAUAUCCUGGAACCCCUGACGGUACCUCUGGAGGAAGCCAUGGCUAACUCUGUGCCAGCAGCCGCGGUAAUACAGAGAUGGCGAGCGUUGUCCGGAAUUACUGGGUGUAAAGGGCAGGUAGGCGGUGGAGCAAGUCAAAUGUGAAAUCCAGUGGCUCAACCACUGGGCUGCAUUUGAAACUGCACCACUCGAGUCCGGGAGA
rnacentral:rRNA from 1 species